CGAACGGGUGAGUAAUGCGUGACCAACCUGCCCCAUGCUCCAGAAUAGCUCUUGGAAACGGGUGGUAAUGCUGGAUGCUCCAACUUGACGCAUGUCUUGUUGGGAAAGUGUUUAGUGGCAUGGGAUGGGGUCGCGUCCUAUCAGCUUGUAGGCGGGGUAAUGGCCCACCUAGGCUUCGACGGGUAGCCGGCCUGAGGGGGCGGACGGCCACAUUGGGACUGAGAUACGGCCCAGACUCCUACGGGAGGCAGCAGAU
rnacentral:rRNA from 1 species